GACGAACGCUGGCGGCAUGCCUAAUACAUGCAAGUCGAACGCGGCCAUCCGGUGCUUGCACUGGUGAAGCCGAGUGGCGAACGGGUGAGUAACACGUGAGAAACCUGCCCUGGAGUGGGGAAUAACUCGAAGAAAUUCGAGCUAAUACCGCAUACCUUCUCUUCACCGCAUGGUGAGUUGAAGAAAGAUUUAUCGCUCUAGGAGGGUCUCGCGGCCUAUCAGCUAGUUGGUGAGGUAAUGGCUCACCAAGGCAUCGACGGGUAGCUGGUCUGAGAGGACGAUCAGCCACACUGGGACUGAGACACGGCCCAGACUCCUACGGGAGGCAGCAGUAGGGAAUCUUGCGCAAUGGGCGAAAGCCUGACGCAGCAAUGCCGCGUGCGGGACGAAGGCCCUAGGGUCGUAAACCGCUUUCAGUAGGGACGAAAAUGACGGUACCUGCAGAAGAAGCUCCGGCCAACUACGUGCCAGCAGCCGCGGUAAACACG
rnacentral:rRNA from 1 species